ensembl:lincRNA Gm44113 predicted gene, 44113
AGGCAAGCCAGUAAAGAACAUCCCCCCAUGGCCUCUGUAUUAGCUCCUGCUCCUUGCUCUGUUUGAGUUCCAGUCCUGACUUCCUUUAGUGAUGAACAGCAGUGUGGAAGUGGAUCUACCAUGGGGAGCCCCAGAGAAGGCCUUUGACUUCAGAGGUGCUGUCUAAUCUUCUCAUAGAAGGCCUCGCUGGACUCCAGCCAUGGCUUCCACCAAGCCAAGUUCAAGGCCACUGCCACCAAGGUCAAGCCAAGACUGCUGCUGCUGACAAGCCAAUGGCUCAUCCAGUGGCACCUGAGUGUCUGAGAGUCUGAGAACAAGAGGGCCCCAGCCUCAUCACAGGCCGUGGGUCUGUGCUUUUCUACCCCUGAAGCAGUGUCCCAGGGCUUCCUUAUAGCCCGAACAAAAGCCCAGUAACAGCAUGGACAAAUGGUCCACCUCCCCAGAGGCUGUGCCCUGUGGCAGAGGGGAUGCAGGACCUCAGAACCCUAUAACAGAACUAAUGCUGUUUUCCUGGAUGUGAGAAAUGAUGGAUAAGGAGUGAGGCCUUUAAUCCUUUUUAUUUCCAUAAUUAGGAAAUGUGGUACUUUCCCUCUUCAAUAAUCAAAUGUAAGAUUUCUGAAUCCCCAAAACAUAUAUUUAUCACCGAAUUGAAUUAUUUCUUGUGCUACAUUGCCUUCGACCUCUUGUCUUUAAAAGUACCCGUCUGUCUGCUCAUUUGUUUUCACUUUAUCUUAGGGAUAAAUAUAUUGAAGGAACAAGUAAACAUGGCCUUUGUGACAUGGAAUGAUCCAGAAAAUCAAAUAUACUUAAGAUGAUACAAUCCUUUAUUCCAUUGAGAAUUUUCAAACAGAUUCAUUAUAUAAUGAUGUCUUACACACAGUAUAUUUUACUUUCUUUAAUUAAGUAAGAAUCCAUGCUAAUCACUGCAUACUAAACUGAUUAUUUACGUGAGAAAUCAUAACUGAGAAAAAAAGACCAGAUAAAUUUUGAAAUUUCCAUGUUACAAAAUAUAACUUUAUUUAGUUGUUUUGGCAACACAUUUGGAUACAGGAAAAGAGCAUUACUCCACAGGAUUAUUUUGUGUCUGAUUUGAGAAAAGGACUUUACAGGCAGAACUUAUGUAUGUAUUUUAAAUUGCAUCUUAUUUCUCACCUUAGGUAUCUCUCCACAGUUGUCAGCAGUAAAUCCAUCAAUAACCAAACAGCUCACUAACCCAGUGUGAUCAUGUUCAAGCCUGGCAGAGUUAUGAAGGAAAGGUGUUCAGAUUUUAGGCCCUUGCAUAUCACCUGUACUGGUAGAUGUAGGUUUGGUAUUUUCUUGCCUCCUGUUUUUUUUUUCUAUCAGAAAACUAUCAAUGCAGUCUUAUGAAUCAGAUAGUUAAUAACUUAUGCACUGUAUAAAUCCAAAAGCAAACUGGACGUGUGGAAAUAUCUGAUAUUCCGCUGGAUGGGGAGGAUUGAGUUCACAAACUAGUUCAGCAAGUGAAACCUUUCUCAAGAAAUGUAAUUAAAUGAAGAAAUAAAUAAAUUCCAAAGCAAAAAUGUUUUACUGAUACAAUGUAGGAAAUUUUAUCACUUACAAUUAACUGAGUAGGAUCAAUAAAUUAAAAUAAUAACUUUUGGAAAUGCUAUUUCCCAAAAUAAAAACACAUGACGUUUUCAUAUGCUGAAUAUUUUUCACCUUCUGAUAUGUUCUAUGCUUAGAUGGCAGAAAAAGACCCCAGGAACAUUGUGCUUUUGUGCCACGCUGAUGUCAUGAACCAGGUUGAGUGUUACUCAGUACAUAUAGCUCAGUAUCUUCUUCAUAGGUACCUUGUUCAUCCUAAUUCAUAUUGAAACCAUGCAAAAAAGGGUAGGUGGUCUCCAGGUUCCACACCUACUGAGCAGUUAUUGACAAAUGACUGUUGCUGGGGAAAAUAUAUAAUUAUUUUUGGAGUUGUUGAUAUUGGUAGGUUUCCCAUAUGUUAUUUGGUGGUCUGACAUACAAGGGCACUCUAGUUUGUCUUAGUGGUUUAUAAAAAGGAAGGGGUUGGAGUUAUUACUCAGCAGUUAAGAGCACUUGCUGCCCUUCCAGAAUAUUAAAUUUCAGACCCGGCAACUAUUUCAUGCCCAGUGCCUCUCAACUUAUCUCCAAGGCCAGAGACCUAAUGUCUCUGGUCUCCAUGGGAACCUGAAUCUACAUACAUGUAUCCAGCUCAGACACAGACACCUACACAUCAUUAAAAAAAUAAAAAUAAAUCUUUAGAAGGAUAAGGUAUGACAAUGGGAGGAGAGUAUGUUGUAGGGAAGAUAAGAGGGUGUUGGAAGAAGGAAAUGAAGAUAAAUAUGAUUGUAUUUUGUUGUAUAUGUAUUUGAAAUUCUGAAGAGCAAAGAAAUGGUGCAGAUGAACAAAAGAAAUGAUGUGCAUCAAUCUCAAUUUGACUCUUUAGGAUCUUGGCUACAAUUUUCUAUCAUCUUUUUCACUGUUUAUAGCAUAUUGUUGGUGAUGUUUAUCAACAUGACGCUUAUGCUAUUAGAUUCAGCAAUGGCCACUGUAAGUAAAAUCACAGACCCAUCCACAGGAUUUCUGAGUGCCUGUGAAAUUUGUUUGCUUCAUUCAUUAAGAUGUUUUCCCUUUAACUCAGCUUAAACCUCAAAUACUGACAGAUGUACUGUUUUCAGCUAGAGUCUGCUCAAUAAAAGAAUUAGUGGGAAGUCAUGAAGAUACACUGUAACUCUGUUGAAGUAUAGCACUGUGCACAUCAGGUUUUAUCUGUGUGAAGUUAAAUUCAGAGGAAUCUGUUGUUACUACUAGCCACUUCUUCUUAUUAACUAUCUAAAUGAUAUUAGGAUCCCUGAGCACGCUCACUAGUCAGAGAGACAGACUGACUAUUAAAUAUUCACACUUGGCUCUUCCUAGUGCCUGCAUGCCUGAGGCUAUUUUUUCCCAUGGAAAUCUUUACAGAUCUGGAGCUUGUGUGUUUGUUAGUCAAUUUUGAUGCUUUGCGUCUAGUCCUUACGAGGAUGCUGACUGUGAUCCCAAGACACCUCUUUAUGACCUUGUCUG